UCUGUCACGGUGCCAUUGGCUACAGACAGUGUUGAUGUGCUUGAGAGAAUCGUUUCACAGCUUUUUACAACUUUACACGUGGAUGUGGAGGACAUACGAGGAAUGGGAUUGCAGGUCUCAAAGCUUGAAACUGCAGACAGUUCCAAGCAAGGGAAAGAGAGUUACUCCAUCAAAUCUUGGCUCACUGCUGCCUCUGCUAAGACCAAUAACCAAAACAGAUGCAGUAGUCAUGAGAAAGGUGCUGAUGCA